rnacentral:lncRNA from 1 species
CGUCCAACUCCGAACGGCCAGCUGCUGCCCAGCCCGCCUUCCCAUCGCUGUUUCUGAGUCAGAAGUGAUUUUCGCACCCGCUCCCAACGCUGCUAUUCAUUUUACUUCUUGUCUUUCUUCCCCUUGUGGGUCCUCAAGGUCAGGCCACGUCUUCCUCCAUCAGUCUGCUCCACAGAGGGUUGGGAAUAUAUGUCCAGUGGAUGCUUUCAAAAGAAAAGUGCAAAAAGCGGGUGUUAUCUUAAAUUUUGCAGUUUUUCUUUUCAUGAGUAUUAUACAAAGUAUGCAUUUAAUAAAAUUAAUUUCUGAUGCUGUCACCAUGGAAAUAGUUGCUGCUUUCUUCUUUGCUUGAGGAAAUUUUAUAUUUUCAUGUUAGCACACGAGGUUUCUGGAG